rnacentral:rRNA from 1 species
AGUGAACGCUGGCGGUAGGCCUAACACAUGCAAGUCGAACGGCAGCACAGUAAGAGCUUGCUCUUACGGGUGGCGAGUGGCGGACGGGUGAGGAAUACAUCGGAAUCUACUUUUUCGUGGGGGAUAACGUAGGGAAACUUACGCUAAUACCGCAUACGACCUACGGGUGAAAGCAGGGGAUCUUCGGACCUUGCGCGAUUGAAUGAGCCGAUGUCGGAUUAGCUAGUUGGCGGGGUAAAGGCCCACCAAGGCGACGAUCCGUAGCUGGUCUGAGAGGAUGAUCACCCACACUGGAACUAGGACACGGUCCAGACUCCUACGGGAGGCAGCAGUGGGGAGUAUUGGACAAUGGGCGCAAGCCUGAUCCAGCCAUACCGCGUGGGUGAAGAAGGCCUUCGGGUUGUAAAGCCCUUUUGUUGGGAAAGAAAAGCAGCAGGUUAAUACCCCGCUGUUCUGACGGUACCCAAAGAAUAAGCACCGGCUAACUUCGUG